rnacentral:rRNA from 1 species
GUAGGGAAUCUUCCGCAAUGGGCGAAAGCCUGACGGAGCAACGCCGCGUGAGUGAUGAAGGUCUUAGGAUCGUAAAACUCUGUUGUUAGGGAAGAACAAAUUUGUUAGUAACUGAACAAGUCUUGACGGUACCUAACCAGAAAGCCACGGCUAACUACGUGCCAGCAGCCGCGGUAAUACGUAGGUGGCAAGCGUUAUCCGGAAUUAUUGGGCGUAAAGCGCGCGUAGGCGGUUUCUUAAGUCUGAUGUGAAAGCCCACGGCUCAACCGUGGAGGGUCAUUGGAAACUGGGGAACUUGAGUGCAGAAGAGGAGAGUGGAAUUCCAUGUGUAGCGGUGAAAUGCGCAGAGAUAUGGAGGAACACCAGUGGCGAAGGCGGCUCUCUGGUCUGUAACUGACGCUGAUGUGCGAAAGCGUGGGGAUCAAACAGGA